rnacentral:rRNA from 1 species
UACGUAGGGAGCGAGCGUUGUCCGGAAUUACUGGGCGUAAAGGGCGUGUAGGCGGAGAUCUAAGCAGGGUGUGAAAACUAUGGGCUCAACCCGUAGCCUGCAUUCUGAACUGGAUCCCUUGAGGGCAGGAGAGGAAAGUGGAAUUCCUAGUGUAGCGGUGAAAUGCGUAGAUAUUAGGAGGAACACCAGUGGCGAAGGCGACUUUCUGGACUGUACCUGACGCUGAGGCGCGAAAGCGUGGGGAGCAAAC